rnacentral:rRNA from 1 species
CAGGAUCGCAAGACCUUGCGCUAAUGGAGCGGCCGAUGUCAGAUUAGGUAGUUGGUGAGGUAAAGGCUCACCAAGCCUUCGAUCAGUAGCUGGUCUGAGAGGACGACCAGCCACACUGGGACUGAGACACGGCCCAGACUCCUACGGGAGGCAGCAGUGGGGAAUUUUGGACAAUGGGCGAAAGCCUGAUCCAGCCAUGCCGCGUGCAGGAUGAAGGCCUUCGGGUUGUAAACUGCUUUUGUACGGAACGAAACGGUCUUUUCUAAUAAAGAAGGCUAAUGACGGUACCGUAAGAAUAAGCACCGGCUAACUACGUGCCAGCAGCCGCGGUAAUACGUAGGGUGCAAGCGUUAAUCGGAAUUACUGGGCGUAAAGCGUGCGCAGGCGGUUUUGUAAGUCAGA